AUGCAUAGGGCUGAUAGUUUAGGUAUUUCUUUGGGUAGUAGCAAUAGUGAGGUUGCAACUUCCAUUAACGAUUUACUUAAUCUAGAGGCUGAUCACGCACUUAAUAUGCUUAAAACCAUAGCAGCUGUCAAACCAAUGAAAGAAAGCGAAAUUAAUGAACUAGGAGUUAAUGAAUUGGAGGUGUUAUGUGAGGAUUUAGUCCCGAGUAAUUUAUUAGAAGGGGAGACCGUGGAUGUGGAUGGGCAUGCGGCCGAUCUACAACCAUAUGAUGGUCUUGGCAAUGAGCACGGUCAUGCGGAUUGUGGACUCGAACCGUCAGCACCUAGGCGUAAACGGCAGAAGAAUUACGGUCUUUCUGCGGUACGGCGAAGUGCUCGAGUUAGAGCUAGAAAGAAAUUUCAUGAUGAGAAAUGGAAGGUAACUUCUGGAAUAGCAGAGGUCUGA
rnacentral:rRNA from 1 species